CGUACCAUAAAUUAAUAAGGCAAAGAUGAAGCAAAACAAUUUCCUUUUUUUUAAAAAAAAAAAAAUAGUUACUCUUGUAAAAUUUACUUUUUUAUUUUAAUAAAUAUAAUUAAUUCAAGAUCUCUUAAUUCUUCACACGAUCUUUAUAUUGCAAUUUCUCAUGAGAUACGAGGCAAUCAAAAGCUCAUCAUCAUUACCUCAGCCACAGCCCACGGGUAGUGUAAUUGGAAGUUUACGUAGUUGAAUGCGGUGGGCAUCCAGUGCCACUGAGCUGUGAACAACUGUGAAGGAAUAGCAUGUGUGUGUGAGAGAGAGUAGAAAC
rnacentral:lncRNA from 1 species